AUCAGUAUGGAGCUUGAUAGAAAGCAUUUCAUUUACACUGAAGUUUUAUUUGUGCAAUCCAAAUUAUACUGAU
rnacentral:tRNA from 1 species